rnacentral:lncRNA from 1 species
CGACCGUUCUGGGCUCCAUAACCAGCCAAGCGAAGUGAGCGAGGCAGGCCGACCUGAGUCGCGACGUGCACUGUUUUGAGGUGAUUCGUAAACUUAGGCAGGCCAACUCGAGACGAGACGCAAGGUGUACCGAAGUGAGACGCCCAUCCGGAGGAGGACUUCGCUGGGACGAAAUAGAAUAUUAAAUUAUUAUUUUGCCUUAUAUUGUACAUAAUUUAGAAUUAAUAGAUUUGCUUUGCUUUCAA